CUGUUCAGUUGAUCUGUUCUUGGAAGCUUCCUUCCCGGAAGCUAGAGAGAGGCAGGUUACAGGGCUUGCUGUGCAGAGCACCGGUCUUGUGUGGCUGAGGCGCCAGGUUUCCAGCCAGAGACAGAAGGGUCCUGGAGCUCUGCCUUUGCUCCCCCUGUGUCUGUGCCAUGGGUCAGUCCCCUUCUGUUUCCUGCAAGGCUCCAAGCCCCUUCCUGGAAAAACGUGAUUUGACCACUUGUGCUGGGACCUGCUGGAGUUCGCAGAUUCCGUGCACAUGGAUCAGGGUUGGAGCCCCGUUCCCCACCUGCAGGGGAGGAGAGGUGCAGCAGCCGUGCUCACCCCUGAGUCCAGGUGCUGCGAGAACGUCCAGAGCUUCAGG